AUUAGCUGACAAGUCCCAAAUAGGACGAAAUGCCAUCCUGGAU
rnacentral:hammerhead_ribozyme from 1 species